GGGCAGUGUUUCGUUCUGUUGUACAUAGGGUCACUAUGAAUCAGAGCCAACUUGAUAGCACCUAACAACAACAAAUAUAUAUUUAUGUCUUUUGUUACAAUCACAGUUUUUUUUUUAGCAACUUCUAUACAAUGGAACUUGCACUCUUUAGAGCAAAUUACCUGGGAAAUCCUAAUUGUCAUACUGUUAUUUUUCCUUUUUCGAAAAAACAAUUUCAAGGAACAUUCCAAUUUCUGUUUUGUUUAAAAUUUGCAGAUGCUGUGUGAAUCUCCUCCCUUUUUAUAAAGCUCUAUUAAAAUAAUAGAACUAAUAAUUCCACAUUGUAAAACAUUUGCUAGAUAGUGUGGAAAAAAAUAAUUCUAUGCCAUUACAACCAUAGUUACCAUUUUGGUGUUUUUCCUUUUUUUAUUUUCCCAUGCAUUAAAAAAAGAGUUUUAAUUAUCUGUACAUUUUCAUAUUCAGUCCUUUUUAGUUUGACACUGUAUAAAAAAGUAUUUUUCAUGUUUUAUACAUUUUUAUAAUGUUGAAAUAAUUGUGUGUAACUAAUCAAUGUGUGCAUUUAUUGUAUUUUAUCCUACUAUUAUUUUGGACAUUUAAGUUGUUUCAUAUUAUAAUAAUGCUCAGAUGGGCAUCUUUGUGCAUGUGUAGUAACCACUCCCUUCCUCUCUGCCUCAUAUUUUAGUUUUUCUUUCUUACGAGCUCAAGCUGCUAUCCAAAAGGUCAGCAGUUUGAAUCCACCAGCCAGCCGCUCCUUGGAAACCCUAUGGGGCAGUUCUACCCUGUCCUGUAGGGUUGCUAUGAGUCAGAAUUGACUUGACGGCAGUGAAUUUUUAUAGACUUUCAGUAGAAGAGAUGGUGGGUCAAAGGGCAUCUUGGAUAUUUUUAUGGUUCUUUAUAUGUAUUGCCAAAUUGCCUACCAGCUUUGGGUGUUAUCAUGGUUUUAUAAUUUUUGUCAGUUUAAUAGUAAAAAACAAGUUACCUAUUAUUUUAAUGUGAAAGUUUUGGGUUAUUCAAGUGGCUAAAUAUUUUCCAUGUGUUUGCUUAUUGAUGGAUGGGAGCAAAAAGUAGAGAACAACAAUAUUUUACAUUAAUAUUUAACAGUUUACAAAGACUAACUUAUACCAUCUUGUUUGAUACCUAUGCAUAAACUGGGUUGCCUACAUAUGAAUGAAGAAUACAGACAAAUGAAGAACAAUCAUAUUUAAUAAGCAAUAUUUCAAAACCAAAACAUCCAUUUCUACUACAUUUUAUAAUUUUAAUGCUAAAAAUCUUCGCUGUCAAAACAGAAACAUGUUUUUGAAGGGUGGGAGGGGGCAAGAUCUGAGAUUAAAGAAGUAGUUAGGGUCAGAUCACAAAGGACCUUGUAGACAACAGUAAGAAUUGCAGCCUUUGGCUUAAGAAUAGUGGAAAAUUCUGGUUUCCAUAUGUUUGCAUUUCCUACUUUUUGAAUUUUAUUCCUGUCCUUCUCCUUUUCAUCUGUUGGUAAAGAUCUCAUCGAGGGACACAGUUGUGAACAGCAUGGGCUCUGAAGACAGACUACCUGUCCACAUGUCGGCUCCUCCCCAGGAGUGGGGAAUGUGUAAUCUUUCUGGCUGCAGGAGAAACAUUAAUGCCAAAUGCCACUAUUACCUGUGAGGAAGACCAUUGUCUUUGACUGGACUCACACAAAAAUGAAAUGUAAUUGUUCUAGUAAAGCCAUGAAUCACACCACUGAUGCUUGGAACAAAAUUGCCCAGAUUAGGGUUGUUUCUUAAAGGUAAAUAAUCUCCCUAAAUAUGUCUAUAAAUUGGAGUUGACCCCAUUAAAAAUACCAGGUUUUUUUUUUUGUCUUGACAUACUAAUGCAAAAAUUAAUAUACAAAUGAGCAUGCGAUAAUAGCCAGGAACAUUCUGAAAGAGUAUUAAGAGGCAGAAUUAGGCCUAUAUGAUGUUAAAAGAUAUUAUUAAGCUACAAUAAUUAAAACUGUGUAAUGAAGGCACAUGUAUAGAUCUACAGAUAUAAAAUGGAGACUAGAAAGAGACCCCAAAACACAGGCGACAUGAUAAAAGUACAUCUGAAAUCAAUGAUGAAAUUUAUUCAGUAAAUGGUGUUGGGAUAACUGGGUAGCCAUCUGGGAAAAAAAAAAUAAAGUUGGAUCUGUAUUUCAUACCUCCACCAGAAUGAAUUUUAGAUGGGUCAAAUUUUAAAUUUAAAAAGCAAAACAACAAAAGAAAUAGAACUGAAAGCGGGAUUUUUUUUGUAAUUUAGAAUGGAGGAGGUUUUUCCACUUGGACAUAAAAUUCUGAAACUAUAAAAGAAGAAUAUUCACAAAUUCGUAUAAAAAGCAAAACUUUCUGAAUACCAAAAACUACCACAAGCAAAGUCAAAAGACAAGUUGAAAAAAGUAUUUACGACUCAUCGAAGUAAUGGGCUGUUUUCCUUAAUAUAUAAAAAAGACCAGCAAUUCAGUGGUAGAAUGAACAAAGUAUAUGUAUAGGGAUUUCACAGAAAAGAAGUGAUCCAAAACCAAACCCAUUGCCAUCCAGUCAAUUCCUGCUCAUAGCAACCCUAUAGGACAGAGUAGAUCUGCCCCAAAGGGCCUCCAUGGCUGUAAAUCUUUAUGGUACUCCAGCGGAGCAGCUGGUAGGUUUGAACCACUGACCUUUCGGUUAGCAGCUGAGUGCUUUUAACCAUUGCACCCCCAGGGCUCCUAAAGGAGAGGUACCUGGCUCUAAAACCUGUGCAGUUAAGGUACCCAACCUUACUUAAAGAGAAAUUCAAAUUAAAACUACACCUGAAACCAUUUUCAAAAAAACUUAUCACACUGG